AUUGACGUUAGCGGCGGACGGGUGAGUAACACGUAUGGGCAACCUACCCUAUAGUUUGGGAUAACUCCGGGAAACCGGGGCUAAUACCGAAUAAUCUCUUUUGCUUCAUGGUGAAAGACUGAAAGACGGCUUCUCGUGGUCCUUUUAGGAGGGGCCCGCGGGGCUUUACUUAGUGGGGGAGGUACCGGUUCACCAAGGCAACAAGGCGUAGCCAACCGGAAAGGGGGAUCGGCCACCCGGGAACGAAAACACGGCCCAAAUUCUACCGGAAGGCACCAUUAGGAAAUCUUCAACAUGGGGCGAAGGCUGAUGGAACCACCGCCCCGGGAUUGAGAAAGGUUUCCGGAUCGUUAACCUCUGUGGUAAGGAAGAACCAGGUCCAGAAUUACUGGGUGGUACCUGGACGGUACCUAAUAAGAAGGCCACGCUUACUAACUGCCCACCAGCCGCGGUAAUACGUAAGGUGGCAAGCGUGUCCGGAAUUAUUGGGCGUAAAGCGCGCGCAGGCGGUCCUUUAAGUCUGAUGUGAAAGCCCACGGCUCAACCGUGGAGGGUCAUUGGAAACAGGGGGACUUGAGUGCAGAAGAGGAAAGUGGAAUUCCAAGUGUAGCGGUGAAAUGCGUAGAGAUUUGGAGGAACACCAGUGGCGAAGGCGACUUUCUGGUCUGUAACUGACGCUGAGGCACGAAAGCGUGGGGAGCAAACAGGAUUAGAUACCCUGGUAGUCCACGCCGUAAACGAUGAGUGCUAAGUGUUAGGGGGUUUCCGCCCCUUAGUGCUGCAGCUAACGCAUUAAGCACUCCGCCUGGGGAGUACGGUCGCAAGACUGAAACUCAAAGGAAUUGACGGGGGCCCGCACAAGCGGUGGAGCAUGUGGUUUAAUUCGAAGCAACGCGAAGAACCUUACCAGGUCUUGACAUCCCGUUGACCACUGUAGAGAUAUAGUUUCCCCUUCGGGGGCAACGGUGACACGUGGUGCAUGGUUGUCGUCAGCUCGUGUCGUGAGAUGUUGGGUUAAGUCCCGCAACGAGCGCAACCCUUGAUCUUAGUUGCCAUCAUUUAGUUGGGCACUCUAAGGUGACUGCCGGUGACAAACCGGAGGAAGGUGGGGAUGACGUCAAAUCAUCAUGCCCCUUAUGACCUGGGCUACACACGUGCUACAAUGGACGAUACAAACGGUUGCCAACUCGCGAGAGGGAGCUAAUCCGAUAAAGUCGUUCUCAGUUCGGAUUGUAGGCUGCAACUCGCCUACAUGAAGCCGGAAUCGCUAGUUUU
rnacentral:rRNA from 1 species